ensembl:lncRNA
CUCUCUUUCUAUGAAAUCCGAAUUGUAUCUUUAAACCUCUAGCGAUACAGGGAAGGAUCUGAAGAUAAGGAAGUGGCAUGAUCAGCUGUGGAAGCCGAACCACGUGUGAGGCCCCGAGCCACAGCAUCCUUCCGGCUCUGGAAACCCAAGUGAAGCACCCUGAGGCCUUCGACUUUGAUGCUUACUGUGAAAAAAGAAAGGAAGGGAGCCUCUGAAAAGAGAUCUUGCAAGACUUUUAAGCAAAUGUCCUCGGAUGCACUCUGCCUAAGCUCAGAAGACACCAAAAAGCACAGCGUCAUCGCGUCCUCCCGCAUCCUCAUCUCCCUCGCUCCCAGACCCAGCCAGGUUGUCCGUGGCCUUAAAUGCUGGUUCUCCCUAUUACUGGGCUGCUGCGUUGAAAGCAAAAAACAAACAGAAGUCCCAAAGUUCCACCGUGGUGGUUACCUCCUCCCCGCCGCAAGUAUUUACUCACUUAACCUUAAGUAUGUACUCACUUAAAUCCUGUUCUCUUUAAUCCAGGAGGAACCGGACAAAUUUUUUCGGGUGCUAGGUAGUUUUUGGCUUAGAAGGAGGUAGGUCUCACCGAUACUCCCUAAAUGCUGAAAUAAAAACAGAUCCCAUUUGCCA